GACGAACGCUGGCGGCGUGCUUAACACAUGCAAGUCGAACGAUGAAGCUGGAGCUUGCUCCAGUGGAUUAGUGGCGAACGGGUGAGUGACACGUGAGCAAUCUGCCCUUGACUCUGGGAUAACUGCGGGAAACUGUAGCUAAUACCGGAUACGACACCUUGGGGCAUCCCGGGGUGUGGAAAGAAUUUCGGUCAAGGAUGAGCUCGCGGCCUAUCAGCUUGUUGGUGAGGUAAAGGCUCACCAAGGCGACGACGGGUAGCCGGCCGGAGAGGGUGACCGGCCACACUUGAACUGAGACACUGUCCAGACUCCUACGGGAGGCAGCAGUGGGGAAUAUUGCACAAUGGGCGAAAGCCUGAUGCAGCAACGCCGCGUGAGGGAUGACGGCCUUCGGGUUGUAAACCUCUUUUAGCAGGGAAGAAGCGAAAGUGACGGUACCUGCAGAAAAAGCACCGGCUAACUACGUGCCAGCCGCCGCCGUAA
rnacentral:rRNA from 1 species